GGGCAAGUCCCGUGCGGUCUGCUCCCUUUGAACUCCGUCAGGGCCGGAAGGCAGCAGCGGUAGAAGGUUGUAGCGAUGCGAUACGGUAAGCUUGCCCUUU
rnacentral:SRP_RNA from 1 species